rnacentral:rRNA from 1 species
AACGAACGCUGGCGGCGUGCUUAACACAUGCAAGUCGAUCGGUAACGCGGGGGCAACCCUGGCGACGAGAGGCGGACGGGUGAGGAACGCUUGGGAAUCUGCCUAUCAGCGGGGGACAACACGGGGAAACUCGUGCUAAUACCGCAUACGCUCUACGGAGGAAAGCCGGGGACCGCAAGGCCUGGCACUGAUAGAUGAGCCCAAGCCGGAUUAGCUAGUUGGCGGGGUAACGGCCCACCAAGGCGACGAUCCGUAGCUGGUCUGAGAGGACGAUCAGCCACACUGGAACUGAGACACGGUCCAGACUCCUACGGGAGGCAGCAGUGGGGAAUAUUGGACAAUGGGGGAAACCCUGAUCCAGCGACGCCGCGUGGGUGAAGAAGGCCUGCGGGUUGUAAAGCCCUUUCGGUAGGGACGAAAGCUCUCGACCUAACACGUCGGGAGGUUGACUUAACCUACAGAAGAAGCACCGGCUAACUCUGUGCCAGCCGCCGCAGUAAAAC